rnacentral:lncRNA from 10 species
CUUCCCUGCAACUCUCUGGUUGCCAAAUCUUGGCAGCCGUGUUGAACUUGAGCCAAGCGUUUAGUCCUCAGCUGAACUGCUGCCAGCCUGCGCACGGCAUUGUGGGGCGAGAGCCGGAGGGGCUGCACUGCACCGAGCUUGCACAGGGCGAGGCGGGGGCAGGACCUGGGACCCAGCCACCCCGGAGGAAACCGGAGAGGAAACCAGCUUGGUCUUGCUCUCUGCCUCGUCCCAAUCCCCGGCUCUUACCAAAUGCAGGUGCAGUCUCCUCAGAACUACAAAGCAAGAAAAGAUCACCUUUGGGCUCAGGAACUCACAGUCGUUCUCCCUCUCCCGGAAGGCACAAUGACCAGGACAGUACCGAGCUUUACAGCCAUAUUGAACUCACCAUCAACUCAGCACAUUCAACUCAAUCAGUCAAAAUCGUCUUUUCCUGCUGGUAAAUAACACUGAAAUAUAAAGAGACUGAUCUCAGAGUGGUACAGAUCUACAACCACGUGAAGAAUUGGAUUUAUAUUCAUCUGACUCCAGAAAGUUCCUGAGAUUCCUCUGCUUCAUCAUCUUUCCCAUGCCCUUUAAAACACGUUAUCAAAUAGCAACAGGUGGUGCAAUAACUAGACAAAUGAUUCUCAGCCUUUUUCUUUGCCAUUAGCACUCCCGGAAGGAGACGUGUUGGACACUUUUCCUUGUCACCACCCCAUGAACCUUCCAUACCACAGGUAUACUGUGUAUUCGGUUAUGUAUCAUCUGUACAUCUG